UCGUCGUCCCCGCCUCCUCCCCAGGGCCCGCGUCGGAACCUCGGUAGCCGCGGCGCUCACAGCCCGAGAAGAGCGGCGGGCCUGGCAGCGGCGGCGGCCACCGAGACCCACCCGAGGCGCGUCCCCGUCAGCCUCCCGGCGCCCCCAGGCCGCAGCGCCCGCGCACCUUCAGCUCGCUCGCUCGCCCUCCUUCCCUGCGGCCGGCUGCGCCAUGGCGUUGGCGUUGGCGGCGCUGGCGGCGGUGGAGCCGGCCUGCGGCAGCCGGUACCAGCAGUUGCAGAAUGAAGAAGAGCCUGGAGAGCCGGAACAAGCUGCAGGGGACGCUCCUCCACCUUAUAGCAGCAUCUCUGCAGAGAGUGCAGCAUAUUUUGACUACAAAGAUGAGUCUGGGUUUCCAAAGCCCCCAUCUUACAAUGUGGCUACCACACUGCCCAGUUAUGAUGAAGCUGAGAGAACCAAAGCUGAAGCUACUAUCCCUUUGGUUCCUGGAAGAGAUGAGGAUUUUGUGGGUCGGGAUGAUUUUGAUGAUCCUGACCAGAUGAGGAUAGGAAACGAUGGGAUUUUCAUGUUAACUUUUUUCAUGGCAUUCCUCUUUAACUGGAUUGGGUUUUUCCUGUCUUUUUGCCUGACCACUUCAGCUGCAGGAAGGUAUGGGGCCAUUUCAGGAUUUGGUCUCUCUCUAAUUAAGUGGAUCCUGAUUGUCAGGUUUUCCACUUACUUCCCUGGAUAUUUUGAUGGUCAGUACUGGCUCUGGUGGGUGUUCCUGGUUUUAGACAUCUUAAAGCAAAGAAAUGAGCAGUGUGGUGAAUACUGCUGGCUUCUUCAUUGUAGAGAAAAUACAUAUGAUACGGUAACAGACCAUCAUCACUGCUGUCAUUUCUGCAAUAGCAGGGACAUCCUGUAGCUGUUAAAGAUGGCUUUCUCCUGUUUCUCAGAGGAUUUAUCAAUUAUGCAAAAGUCCGGAAGAUGCCAGAAACUUUCUCAAAUCUCCCCAGGACCAGAGUUCUCUUUAUUUAUUAAAGAUGUUUUCUGGCAGAGGCCUUCCUGCAUUUAUGAAUUCUCUCCCAAGAAGCAAGAGAACACCUGCAGGAAGUGAAUCAAGAGGCGGAACACAGAGGAAUAAUCACCUGCUUUAAAAAAAUAAAGUACUGUUGACAAAGAUCAUUUCUCUCUAUUUGUUCCUAGAUGUAAAAUUUUAAUAGUUAAUGCAAAAUUCUGUAAUCAUUGAAUCAUUAGUGGUUAAUGUUUGAAAAAGCUCUCGCAAUCAAGUCUGUGAUGUACUAAUAAUGCCUUAUCUAUUUGUAGUCAUUUUAAAUAGCAUGAGCCUUGUCCCUGUAGUCAGUAGGGGGCAAUCUUGCUUUAUUCAUCCUCCAUCUCAAAAUGAAUUUGGAAUUAAAUAUUUUAGUGUAAGAUAUGUACAAUGCUGGCCAUUUAAAAAAGGGGUUUUCUCAAAAGUAUAACUUUUGUUAUGACUGCAUUUCUGCACAUAAUCCAUUUCGCUGUUAAAAUUAAUCUAGAAAUUUAUUUAAUUGUACUGUGAACACCUAGAAACAAAAUCAUAGUGCAAAAUACAUUUAAGGUGUGGUCAAGAAUAUGUUCUUAAUUGGUAAAUGAUAAGCAUUAAUUUUUUAUAGUCUGUAUUCUAAUUUUGCUGUACCUUAUUCUGUUGUGUACCUAAGGGAUUGUAAAGGUAUUAUCACUGUAUAAAAUAGAAAGGACAAGGACAAAUGCAGCAUAAUUACUAAUAAAAUGGAAUUCGUGAUACUUUCUGUGAUUAGAAUCCCUACCCCUUUUUUUUCUUUUUCUUUUGUCUCCUGAUGAUUAGGCCAGGGGCUAGGAGUAGGGAGGGGAUUAGGUACUAGGAGCAAAGAAAGAAUUAGCUUGGAACUUUUGAGAUGAUCCCUAACAUACUGUACUACUUGCUUUUACAAUGUGUUAGCAGAGACCAAUGUGUUAUAAUGUAGAGUGAUGUGCUUUCUGCCAAGUGGUAUUCACCCUGGUUUGCUAUGUUAAAGCUGUAAAUACAACAGAACAUUAAUAAACGUCUCUUGUGUAGCAACUUU